rnacentral:rRNA from 1 species
UGGGGAAUUUUGGACAAUGGGCGAAAGCCUGAUCCAGCAAUGCCGCGUGUGUGAAGAAGGCCUUCGGGUUGUAAAGCACUUUUGUCCGGAAAGAAAUCCUUGGCUCUAAUACAGUCGGGGGAUGACGGUACCGGAAGAAUAAGCACCGGCUAACUACGUGCCAGCAGCCGCGGUAAUACGUAGGGUGCAAGCGUUAAUCGGAAUUACUGGGCGUAAAGCGUGCGCAGGCGGUUUGCUAAGACCGAUGUGAAAUCCCCGGGCUCAACCUGGGAACUGCAUUGGUGACUGGCAGGCUAGAGUAUGGCAGAGGGGGGUAGAAUUCCACGUGUAGCAGUGAAAUGCGUAGAGAUGUGGAGGAAUACCGAUGGCGAAGGCAGCCCCCUGGGCCAAUACUGACGCUCAUGCACGAAAGCGUGGGGAGCAAACAGGGUUAGAUACCCUGGUAGUCCACGCCCUAAACGAUGUCAACUAGUUGUUGGGGAUUCAUUUCCUUAGUAACGUAGCUAACGCGUGAAGUUGACCGCCUGGGGAGUACGGUCGCAAGAUUAAAACUCAAAUGAAUUGAC